AUACGUAAGGUGCGAGCGUUGUCCGGAAUUACUGGGCGUAAAGAGCUCGUAGGUGGUUUGUCGCGUCGUCUGUGAAAUUCCGGGGCUUAACUCCGGGCGUGCAGGCGAUACGGGCAUAACUUGAGUACUGUAGGGGAGACUGGAAUUCCUGGUGUAGCGGUGAAAUGCGCAGAUAUCAGGAGGAACACCGGUGGCGAAGGCAGGUCUCUGGGCAGUAACUGACGCUGAGGAGCGAAAGCAUGGGUAGCGAACAGGAUUAGAUACCCUGGUAGUCCAUGCCGUAAACGGUGGGCGCUAGGUGUAGGGGUCUUCCACGACUUCUGUGCCGUAGCUAACGCAUUAAGCGCCCCGCCUGGGGAGUACGGCCGCAAGGCUAAAACUCAAAGGAAUUGACGGGG
rnacentral:rRNA from 1 species